ACCUUCCCACCCGUGUCUAUCGUACCUUGUUGCUUCGGCGGGCCCGCCGCUUCUUACGGCCGCCGGGGAGGCCUCGCGCCCCCGGGCCCGCGCCCGCCGAAGACCCCAACAUGAACGCUGUUCUGAAAGUAUGCAGUCUGAGUUGAUUAUCAUAAUCAGUUAAAACUUUCAACAACGGAUCUCUUGGUUCCGGCAUCGAUGAAGAACGCAGCGAAAUGCGAUAAGUAAUGUGAAUUGCAGAAUUCAGUGAAUCAUCGAGUCUUUGAACGCACAUUGCGCCCCCUGGUAUUCCGGGGGGCAUGCCUGUCCGAGCGUCAUUGCUGCCCUCAAGCACGGCUUGUGUGUUGGGCCCCGUCCCCUCCCCCGGGGACGGGCCCGAAAGGCAGCGGCGGCACCGCGUCCGGUCCUCGAGCGUAUGGGGCUUUGUCACCCGCUCUGUAGGCCCGGCCGGCGCCAGCCGACACCCAACUUUAUUUUCUAAGGUUGACCUCGGAUCAGGUAGGGAUACCCGCUGAA
rnacentral:rRNA from 1 species